rnacentral:misc_RNA from 1 species
AGUAGGAGCUGCCGCAGGCUGCGAUCUUUUGAUCUUUGUUUUUUAAGAUCAAAAGAUCGCAGCCUGCGGCAGCUCCUACU